UAGGGAAUAUUGCGCAAUGGGCGGAAGCCUGACGCAGCGACGCCGCGUGAGCGAAGAAGGCCUUCGGGUCGUAAAGCUCUGUCCUUGGGGAAGAAGGCGAAAGCUUGACGGUACCCAAGAAGAAAGCCCCGGCUAACUACGUGCCAGCAGCCGCGGUAAUACGUAGGGGGCGAGCGUUGUCCGGAAUUACUGGGCGUAAAGGGUGCGUAGGCGGCCUUUUAAGUCAGAUGUGAAAGGCUGCGGCUUAACCGCAGGACUGCAUUUGAAACUGGAAGGCUUGAGUGUCGGAGAGGGUAGUGGAAUUCCCAGUGUAGCGGUGAAAUGCGUAGAUAUUGGGAGGAACACCAGUGGCGAAGGCGACUACCUGGACGAUAACUGACGCUGAGGCACGAAAGCUAGGGGAGCAAACA
rnacentral:rRNA from 1 species